CCUACGGGAGGCAGCAGUAAGGAAUUUUCGUCAAUGGGGGAAACCCUGAACGAGCAACGCCGCGUGGAGGAUGAAGGUCUUCGGAUUGUAAACUCCUUUUAUACGGGACGAUAAUGACGGUACCGUAGGAAUAAGCCCCGGCUAACUCUGUGCCAGCAGCCGCGGUAAUACAGAGGGGGCAAGCGUUGUCCGGAAUUACUGGGCGUAAAGCGCACGCAGGUGGUCACGCAAGUGGUGUGUGAAACCAAUCAGCUUAACUGAUUGACGCCAUGCCAAACUGCGAGACUGGAGGGAUGGAGAGGUUGUUCGAAUUGCUGGUGUAGUGGUGAAAUGCGUAGAGAUCAGCAGGAAGACCAAGGGCGAAAGCAGACAACUGGCCAUCACCUGACACUGAGGUGCGAAAGCGUGGGGAGCGAACUGGAUUAGAUACCCAGGUAGUCCACGCCGUAAACGAUGUAUACUCGGUAUCUGGACUGUUACAGGUUUGGGUACCUCAGGAAACCCGGUAAGCAUACCGCCUGGGAAGUACGAACGCAAGUUUAAAACUCAAAGGAAUUGACGG
rnacentral:rRNA from 1 species